AAAGAAAGAAAGAAAGAAAGAAAGAAAGAAAGAAAGAAAGAAAGAAAGGCUGGGCAGGUAAUUGAGUUGGUAAAGUACUCUGCAGGGCACCAUGUCCUGCACACUUGUGACACUGAGGCCACGGAAGGAUAACCACAGGCAGCAGGGCAGGCCUGGACCUAGGACCAUCACUCUUGUUGGAUAGGUAGGUGGGUGGCAAGUCAUAUAAGACCAGGCUCAUCAGCCUCAUGGUGGUCUGGCGAGGGACAAAGGAUGGAGGGAGAAGCAGUAGGGGCCAGGGAGUACCUAGAAAUCCAGGAAGACACAUACACUGGGCAUGAUCCACAUCACUGGGGAGAAGGGGAGGGGCUCACAGGACGAGAAGUGGAAGUGACAGCAUUAGCUAUGGGCUUGUUCUUAGAGGGUUGGCACCCCGAGCCUGCCACAUCACAGUACAAGGCAGUCACUGAGAGCAAAGCAGGAGGGCUAACAGGGCAGGCUUGAGCUUCCCUGGGGUUCAUCUGAUUUCUUUUACCCCUUCAACGGGGGCAGGGAGAAGGCACUGGGCCCAGUCAUGGGAAACAGAGGGUCUGAGCCGAGAACGCCUCAAGAGCGGCAUCCCUUUAAGCCCCACCGAGACUGCUCCAAGUUUU
rnacentral:lncRNA from 1 species